GUAGGUGGCAAGCGUUGUCCGGAAUUAUUGGGCGUAAAGCGCGCGCAGGCGGGUCCUUUAAGUCUGAUGUGAAAGCCCACGGGCUCAACCGUGGAGGGUCAUUGGAAACUGGGGGACUUGAGUACAGAAGAGGAAAGCGGAAUUCCAAGUGUAGUGGUGAAAUGCGUAGAGAUUUGGAGGAACACCAGUGGCGAAGGCGGCUUUCUGGUCUGUAACUGACGCUGAGGCGCGAAAGCGUGGGGAGCAAACAGGAUUAGAUACCCUGGUAGUCCACGCCGUAAACGAUGAGUGCUAAGUGUUAGGGGGUUUCCGCCCCUUAGUGCUGCAGCUAACGCAUUAAGCACUCCGCCUGGGGAGUACGGCCGCAAAGGCUG
rnacentral:rRNA from 1 species